UACUUCUGUGCCUUAGAUGCAGCAGGUUGC
rnacentral:piRNA from 1 species